rnacentral:rRNA from 1 species
UACGAAGGGGGCUAGCGUUGCUCGGAAUCACUGGGCGUAAAGCGCACGUAGGCGGCUUUUUAAGUCAGGGGUGAAAUCCUGGAGCUCAACUCCAGAACUGCCUUUGAUACUGAGAGUCUUCGAGUCCGGGAGAGGUGAGUGGAACUGCGAGUGUAGAGGUGGAAAUUCGUAGAUAUUCGCAAGAACACCAGUGGCGAAGGCGGCUCACUGGCCCGGUACUGACGCUGAGGUG